rnacentral:lncRNA from 1 species
CCCAGUCCAAUUUAUACCUGUCAAACAAUCGAUUCUACAACAACCAAUGUAUUUUAAUCAAUUUUAAAGUACUACACCUAAUUAUGAAAUUUAUUGAUGAUAUAGAGGAAGAAGGGAAUUAACUAUUCAAUUCUUACCUAUUACUACUUUAGAAUAAUUGACAAUGGGGAAUUUUAUAUACCUGAGUUCAAGAAUAAGUGAUUUGUAAAGAACCCUAGGUUUUCCGUUGACUGCGUGACUUAUUCGCUGCUUCUGUUUCUUACUUCCGUGUGUGCGUGCUUUCCUCUGUAAAAUUGUUUCUUAAGCUUUUGUGUUUGUUUUGACUUUCAUCAAGGCUUUAUGCCUUUGGUUUGUUUUGGUCGUGAGGCAGAGGAGUGAUAUAUGGGCUUUAAGCCCAAAUUCUUAAAAGCUUAGUUUGUUUCCCCUUUUUUUU